GGACAACGUCGAAGAAGAAAACGUGCUAGGUCAAACUUUCAACAGACUCAACUGUCUCCCAGUGAGCAGCAACCUUAUGACGUGGCUAGAAACUCCUUACCUGAUAUGAACAAUGCCAAUGCGCAGUUUUCUGGGUACAUUGCAAAUGAAAGCCAACCAGAGAACAAUAUGAUGGUACCGAGGAAGUCUGUGGAGAGAAAC
rnacentral:misc_RNA from 1 species